rnacentral:rRNA from 1 species
CGUGUAGGCGGCGUGAUAAGUCAGAUGUGAAAUCCCUGGGCUCAACCCAGGAAGUGCAUUUGAAACUGUCUUGCUUGAGUACGGGAGAGGGAAGAGGAAUUCCUGGUGUAGAGGUGAAAUUCGUAGAUAUCAGGAGGAACACCGGUGGCGAAGGCGACUUCCUGGCCCGAUACUGACGCUGAGACGCGAGAGCGUGGGGAGCAAACA